GACGAACGCUGGCGGCGUGCUUAACACAUGCAAGUCGAACGCUGAAGCUCAGCUUUUGUUGGGUGGAUGAGUGGCGAACGGGUGAGUAACACGUGAGUAACCUGCCCCCUUCUUUGGGAUAACGCCCGGAAACGGGUGCUAAUACUGGAUAUUCACUGGUCUUCGCAUGGGGGUUGGUGGAAAGGGUUUUUCUGGUGGGGGAUGGGCUCGCGGCCUAUCAGCUUGUUGGUGGGGUGAUGGCCUACCAAGGCUUUGACGGGUAGCCGGCCUGAGAGGGUGACCGGUCACAUUGGGACUGAGAUACGGCCCAGACUCCUACGGGAGGCGGCAGGGGGGAAUAUUGCACAAUGGGCGCAAGCCUGAUGCAGCGACGCCGCGUGAGGGAUGGAGGCCUUCGGGUUGUGAACCUCUUUCGCUCAUGGUCAAGCCGCAACAAUGGUUGUGGUGAGGGUAGUGGGUAAAGAAGCGCCGGCUAACUACGUG
rnacentral:rRNA from 1 species